UGCCCGGGCGGAGGGGGACACCUGCGGGGGGACGUGGGACUAUCUGGGCAAAUGUGACGAGGGCCUGCUGUGUGUUUACCAGGAGUCAGGAGCAGAGGACAAACCAGACACAGAGCGCAGAGGCGUCUGUGAAGCAGUGAUUGAAUCAUUGGAUCCAGAGAGCUGUCACCCAGAGUGCACCAGGGCGUACUGUCAGGCAAACCACACGGAAAUCUGCUCUGCCAGGCUUGUCUCUCUGGAGAAGACAGCAUGCCAGGGCUCCUGCCAACACACCUCCUGUUCAAGCUGUCUGCUCCUGAAACCCCCAUCAUGCACUCAGACCUGCACCCCCGCUGACUCAUCGUGCCUGCGCCAGUUUGGGAAGUGUGUGCACAAUCACCUGAAAGCCACUCAUAACACUGUAUGCAACAACAACCUGCAGAGUCAUCCUGAGGGGCAUUUUCUGUGUCUGGUCCCCGCCUGUCCAAACACAGUGAAGGUGUAAAAAGAGUACAUUUUCAUUGGUUCAUGUAGCAAAAUGGAAAAAGGCAGCUAUAUAUAAACUUUGUGUAUAACUUCAAUAUUUUUUUAUCAAACAAUCCCAUUUGUAAGCAAUGUUAACUGAAUAAAAGCUGUGAAA